CUGCGCCCCUUUUGAAGCACAGCAAGAGGAGGCCGGCUGGGUGAGCCUGGGCACGGCCUUCACAGCUACCUGCUCGGGCGGAAGGGGGCCAGCGACGCGGGCCUCUCCUGCGCCGCCGAGAUCCAGAUGCCCAGCGACCAGGCUUGGGCGUCAUGCUCCAGGUGCCCCGGGUUUCAGGCUCAACCUCAGCGGCCUGGGUUAUUUCUCUUGCCACUGCCACCGUGGUCCAGGAUUACUCCUAUCUCUUCUUCCUCAGGAUGGAUGAAAAUUAUAACCUCUUACCUCAUGGAGUUAAUUUCCAAGGUGCCAUCUUCUGAGACACUCAAGAGAACAGAAGGUUUUCUAGCUCGUUCCAGUUUUCAAAUCGUUCCCAAGGGCAGCAACUGGUGACUUUUUCCAAUGACUGGGAGAUCCAAGAAGAAAAUAGGGGAAAUAUUCUGUAUACAGCUGUAGAUUUGGUGUGUCCCUGGCAGGAGGUGUGCUCAGGAUCCUUUUAUGUCACCGUCUUAAACUGGACCCUGUCUCUUUUUGCACAUGUGCUCCUUGGUGCAGAAGGCCCUGUUUGAGGAGGAGGACCACAUCCAGAAGCUGCAGCAGAAGGUGGCCACCCUGGAGAAGGGGAACAAGCAGGUGUGAGAUCCAGUGAAGAAGGUCAAGGAGGUCCCAAGUGCACAAGAACGGCUGCCGCCUGGAGCUGCUAAACUGAAAGAGAAGCUGCCAGAUACAUCAAAAAUACAUCUAGAUGUGGAACAAUUCUCACGGAACACCUACUGCGCGCUGGCAGGUAAAAGGACCAACGUUGUAGGACACAGCCCCAUAUACCCAGCUCCUGAGGAGGAAUACUCAAGUUUUGCUCUUCUCCCAGAAGUGCUCCAGUCCCACCUACCUCACACCAGAAAUGGCUCAGAAAUGGCUUCUCCUCCAAUAACUGGGGAACAAACAGACUCUGACAACCACAGAGCAAAGAGGCCCUGCACAACAUCCAGAGCAGGCUCUGGUUACCACAACACCAGUCACACACUAUCAAGGGGAUAACAGCCAGCACAGACUGAGGAAAGAUGUGGGAUGCAUCCAUACUAAAAACAGGCAUCACACCAAAAAUAUUAGACUCGUGUAGGCUAUACAGGGAUGCUCCCAUAUAUAAACAUCCCUCCAAGACCACAAAAUAGCUCUUUGUCCUAAACUCAUAGAGUCAGAGAAAUAGAAGUAAAAAGCAGAAGAACCACUCCCAAUGAAAAGAUCAAGAGAAAACCCCUGAAAGAACAAACAGUGAAAAAGACCUCUCCAGUCUACAAGACCCUGAGUUCAGAAAGGCGGUAAUAAAAGUACUAAAUGGAUUAGGAAAGACUGUUGAUAGAAAUACAGGUUAUUGAAAAAAGGAACCAGAAACUGUAAGGAGGAGCCAACUAGAAAACUCAUUUGCUGAAAUAGAAGCUGAGCUAAGUGCAAUGCAUAGCAAACUGAAUAAUGCAGAAGCACAAAUAAGUGAUCUGGAAUUUUGAAUAAUGAAAAUCACCCAAUCGGAACAGUAGAAAAACAAAACAAAACAAAAAAAGAGCAAUAUACCAGACCUAUGGAAUAAUAUAGAAUGUACCAAUCUAUGCAUAAUCGGGAUCCCAGAGGAGAGGAAAGAAAAAAAGAGGAUUGAAAAUAUAUUUGAAGAAAUUAGGGCUUAAAAUUUCCCAACCUAAUAAAGGAAACAUACCCAGGUACAGGAACCAUAGAGAUUCCUAAGCACUAUGAACUCAGACAGACAUAACUAAAAUAGCAGCAGUUACAGGCAACAAGAGAAAAAGUUAAUUUCAAGGGAACCCCUCUAAGGCUAUAAGCUGAUUUCUCUACAGGAACAUUGCAGGCCAGAAAGGACAUGCAAGGUAUGUUCAAAGUUCUGAAAGGGAAAAACCUGCUACUGAAGAUACCCUACCUAGCAAGAGAAUCAUUUAGAAUAGAAGGAGAGAGAAAGAAUUUCUCAUGAAAGAACAAAACCAAUACAGCAAUACCAAACCUAUCCCAAAGGAAAUAUUGCAAGUUCUCUAAAUAGAAAACAAGCUAGACAAUAGAGGAAGGAGAAACUCACAGUUGGGAAGUAAACCACUUAAAUAAGCCAGAGGUAAAAAAAUUUUGUGUGUGAAAGUGAUAACUACAAUGAACAAAAAAAUUAAAAUGGGGAGGGGAGUAAGAGAAUGUAGAUUUUUUUUUUAGAAUGUACUUGAGCCUGUAUAACUACCAGUCUAAAGCAAGUAGAUAUAAAAUGGGUUAAUAUACUUGAAAAACAUGGUAACCACACAUCAAAAACAUGCAAUAGAUUCAUGAAAACUAAGAGAAUAUAAGUAUAAUAUGAAAGAAAACCAUCAAACCACAAAAGGAAACAGAACUAAGGAGAAAUACAAAAUCAACUGGAAAACAAGGUUUACAAUGGCAGUGAUUACAUAUAUCAAUAAUCAUGAUAGAUGUCCAUACACUAAAUGCUCCAAUCAAAAGACACCCAGUGCCAGACUGGAUAAUAAAACACAAGCCCACAAGAUGCUGCCUACAAGAGAACCACUUUAGGGCAAAGGACAUACAUAGACUGAAAGUGAAGGAGAUAGAAAAAGAUUUCAUGCAAACAAAUGAUGAAGCGGGGGAUGCAAAAUAGACUUUUAAACAAAGGCCCAUGGAAUAUGUAUGCUGUGGUACACGGAAAAACUGGCCAACAGGAGCUUGUUCUACCAGCACAGGGAGCUCUAUCCAAUAUUCUGUGAUGAUCUACAUAAGAAAGAGUGAAAAAGAAUGGGUGUGUGUAUAUGAAUAAAUUAAUCAUUUUGUUGUGCAGCAGAAAUUAUAACAUUGUAAAUCAUGAAGAAAGAUAAAGGACACUAUAUAAUAAAGUGAACAAUACAAGACAAGGAUAUUACAUGCAUUUAUAUAUGUACCCAAUAUAAGAGCACCUAAAUAUAUAAAAUUAACAAAAGGAAUGAAUUGAUGGCAAUACAAUAAUAAGCUUUAAAACCCCACUCACGUCAAUGGACAGAUCUUCUAGAGAGAAAAUCAGUAAGACAACAAAGAUCCUAAAUGAUACAUUAGAUGAGUUACCUAAUUGAUAGUUUCAGGACAUUGUAUCAGAAAAAAUUAACUGGAAUACACAUUCUUUUCAAGCGCACAUGAAACAUUCUCUAGGACUGACCACAUACUAAGACACAAAACUGACCUCAGCAAGUUUAAGAGGAAAGAAAUUACUUCAGGCAUCUUUUCUGACCACAACAGUAUGGAAUUAUAAAUUAACCACAAGAAAAGAGAAAAAAAUUGCAUGGAGAUUUAAACAAUAUGCUACUGAAAGUAAAUAGGUCAAUGACGAAAUCAAACAGUAAAUUUUAAAAAUGCCUUGGGACAAGUAAAUGAAAAUAUAACCAUACAAACUCUGUGGGAUGCAGAAAAAGCAGUCCUUAGAGGGAAGUUCCUAGUGAUACAGGCCUUCUUUAAAAAGUAAAAAUCACAAACAACCUAACUCACUAUCUAAUAGAAUUAGGAAAAGAAAAACAACACCUGAAGUCAGCAGAAGGAAGGAAAGCAUGAAGAUGAGAGAGGAAAUAAAGAUUUUUAAAACUUGGGAAAAAAGCAAUAAAACCAAAAGCUUAUGGGCGUUCCCGUUGUGGUGCAGUGGAAAUGAAUCUGACUAGUAUUCUUGAGGAUAUGGGUUCAAUUCCUCCCUCACUCAGUGGGUCAGGGAUCUGGUAUUGCCUUGAGCUACAGGGCAUGGAUUAUAUGUUGCUGUGGCUGUGGUGUAGGCCAGGAGCAAUCCAAACCCUAGCCUGGGAACUUCCAUAUGCUGUGGGUGUGGCCCUAAAAAGAAAAAGGAAAAAAAAAUUAGUUAAUCUGAACAAAUCUACCACUAGAAGUGAAAUAGAAUCUAAUUUUAAACUCCCUGCAAACAAAAGUCCAGGACCAGAAAGCUUCUUUGGGGAAUUCUACCGUGUAUACAAAGAACUUCUUCUAUUGAUCCUUUUCAAACUCUUCCAAAAACUGAAGAAAAAGGAACACUCCCAAAGUCAUUUUAUGAAGCCACAAUCACCCUGAUACCAAAACCAAAGACACUGCCAAAAAAGAAAAUUAUAGGCUAAUAUCUGAUGAAUAUAGAUACAAGAAAAUCUCAACAAAAUAUUAGCCAACUGCAUCCACCAACAUAUACAAAAGGUUAUACGAAGACUAAGUUGGAUUCAUCCCAGGGUCACAAAGAUAGUUCAACAAAUGCAAAUCAAUCAGUAUGCUACACCGCAUCAACAAAUGAAAAGACAAAAAAACAAAUAAUCAUCUCAAUAGAUGCAGAAAAAGCCUAUGAUAAAAUUCAACAUCCAUUCAUGAUAAAACCUCUUACCAAAGUGGACAUAGAACAUUUCAACAUAAUAAAAACUAUUUAUGGAGCUCCUGUCAUGGCUCUCAGAAAAAUACCAAAAAGGGAAAGUACAAAAUAGUAUCUUUAAAAUUUGCAUUAGGAGUUCCCAUCGUGGCUCAGUGGUUAACGAAUCCGACUAGGAACCAUGAGGUUGCAGGUUCGAUCCCUGGCCUUGCUUAGUGGGUUAAGGAUCCGGUGUUGCCAUGAGCUGUGGUGUAGAUUGCAGAUGCGGCUCAGAUCUGGCAUUGCUGUGGCUCUGGCGUAGGCCAGCGGCUCCAGCUCCAAUUCAACCCCUAGCCUGGGAACCUCCAUAUGCCACGGGAACGGCCCAAGAAAAUGGCAAAAAAGACAAAAAAAUAAGUAAAUAAAAUGAAAUUUGCAUUAAAAAAUACUUAGGAAUAAAACUGACCAAGGAGGUGAAACUUAUAUCCUGAGAACUAUAAAACAUUAAUAAAGGGAACUGAAGAUGAUUCAAAGAAAUGGAAAGACAUCUUGCUCUUGAACUGAUAGAGAUAAUAGUGUUUAAAUGACCAUACUGGGGAGUUCCCAUGGUGGCUCAUUGUUAAGGAACCUAACAUCUAUGAUGAUGUGAGUUUGAUCCCUGGCUUCAUGCAGUGAGUUAAGGAUCUGGCGUUGCUGUGGCUGUGGCAUAGGCCGGCGGCUACAGCUCCAAUUUGACCCCGUAGCCUGGGAACUUCCAUAUGCUGUAGGUGCAGCCCUAAAAAGACAAACAUAAGGACUUUACUGGGAUUUCUCACCAUGGUGCAGUGGGUUGAGAAUCUGCAGCAGCUCAGUAACUAUGGAGGUGUGGGUUCCAUCCCUACUUGGCGCAGUGCGUUAAAGCAUCAGGUUUUGUUGCAGCUAUGGCUUAGAUUCGAUCCUGGCCUGGAAACUUCCAUGUCCCACAGGUGUGACCCCCCCUCCACAAAAAAGGCCAUGCCACCCAAAGCAAUCUCCAGAUUUAAUGUGAUCCCCAUCAAAUUACCCAUGACAUUUUUUAUAGAACUAGAAAAAAAAAUCAUAAAAUUUAUGCAGAACCAUAAAAAACCAAGAAUGGCCAAAGCAAUCUUUAGGAAAAAGAACAAAGCAAGUGGCAUACCCCUCUCUGAGUUAACUACAAAGCUAGAAUAGUUAAAACAGUAUGAUACUGGCACACUGGAGUUCCCAUUGAGGCGCAGUGGUUAACGAAUCCAACUGAGAACCAUGAGGUUGUGGGUUUGAUCCCUGCCCUUGCUCAGUGGGUUAAGGAUCCAGCGUUGCCAUGAACUGUGGUGUAGGUUGCAGACACGGCUCGGAUCUGGCAUUGCUGUGGCUCUGGCGUAGGCUGGCAGCUACAGCUCCUAUUAGACCCCUAGCCUGGGAACUUCCAUAUGCUGCGG
rnacentral:lncRNA from 1 species